GCGGAGGGAGUCGUUAGUGGUGUCCCAGCCGAGGCCGCGGAUGAAGAUCUUGCGCUGGGCGGGGUCGCUGUCAGCGAUGGCGCGAACAGCGUCGAGAACGAAGGAGUCGGCGCGGGACAUGGCGGACUUGACUAUGUCGAGGAGCUGGUCGUGGGUGAAGGAGUCGAGGAUCUUUGCGGCGUCGUCAGGGGUGAGGUGGAAGGCGCCGUUUUCGUCGGACUUGCGCUUCUUGGCGACGGGAUCCAUGGGGG
rnacentral:misc_RNA from 1 species